rnacentral:lncRNA from 1 species
AUUGAAGAUUGGUUGUCGAGAAUGGAUGUGAGAAAAUCGAGAUGUAUUGUCGUGAACACGGAACUCCAAGAUUAAUUUAGUUUCCUAGAAAAUUUCAAUAUAAAUUAAUAUUUGGAAAGUUAUUUGGUAUUUUAUCUAAAAUAUAAGACCCAUUUAUUAAUUUAAUUAAACUAAAACAAAUUAGUAAUUUCCAAAAAUGAGUCAAAAUAAAUUAUUUAAAUUCCAAGUUUGAUUUUGGAUUUAUUUUGUAAAGCUUUUUCCAUAUAGGGGUGGUUUUCGAACAAUUUUAUUAAAGUUAGAAGGUUUUGGACUUGAUAUGUAAAGAAAAUCCAAGAGAGGGUGAUAAGUAAUUAAUUUAAAUGAGAGUUUGAUGGGGGGUUGCUUUGUUAAAACUCUUAUAAUUUAAAGGAUUGUUUUAAUUAUUAUAACUAUGGGAAGGGAAUAAAAGCGUUUAAAAAAUAUGAAGUUUGUACAGUAACUUGCACGUUUAUGUACACAUGAGGGUAUACCUCCUGUGUUCUUCAUUUACGAUCGCAAGAAAGAAAAAAAUGCGUAGAUAAUCCUGUAACUAUUGGUAAUGCAUGAGGAUGUAAGAACCAAGCAAGAAGAUGGGAGGAGGGAUGACUUACAGAUGAAGAAUAGCAGCACAACACAUGUGGUGAUUGGUGGUUCACUGCAAUGGCAGUGGAGGUGCUCGGUGGUGAUAACAGGUAGCCGGCAGCAUCCUGCUGCCGGUUUUCCUUUCUUUUUCCGGUCAAUUCAAAGGCUGGGGGAGGUGGAGGAAGGUUGGAGAAGUUUUUCUUCGAGUUUAUAGCAGGUAAUGGUGGGGUUUUGAAGAUGGAAUAAGGCUGAUCCAGUGGUAUACCGUGAGAUAGAGAUAGAGAGUGUUUUAGAGAGAGAUAUGUAGAUCUUAGAGAUGGAGAAGAAAGCUGGAGGUUGAGGUGUGAUUUUUGGAGGUGGUCUAAGCUUCCUUUUACAGCCAAAGAAUGCCCAUACACAACACAAAUAAGCCAUACUUCCAA